GAUGAUAAAUAAAUCCCGUUAAAUAUGCACUGGUUUAUGCAUAUAAAUCAAAACAUGCUUUUAUGCAGAUGUUGGUGCAGCCUGUGGACAUUUAACAUACCAAGAACCUGCAAUACAAGGGAGCAAUGUUAAAAAAGUGUUCAGACCGGACACCUUCAAAAGAAACACUAAUGUUAGUGUGGAAUAUUAUAAACGGGAUGAUGAAAGUAAACGAUAUCGAACAUUCCCAUUUGCUAUUAACGAUACUCGUGAAGAUAGUUCGACUCUGAGUGAAGAAGUAACUGACACUGAAGUAGUGAAGCCUCGCAGUGUUAUGUCAAACACAGAAGGAGCAGUUACAAAAUCAAAGGAGAAAACAAAGGGCGCAUUGAUAUACGCAGACGUUGACAUUGAACUCUUGGAAGCGGCACGUAAAGCGAGGAAGGAACAAAUCCAAUCGGCGCCUACGGAGUAUGCGGACAUCCGGUUUGCAACGAUGUCACAAUCUAGGGGGCAGAAAAUUGUACAUGCAUAUUAUUAAUUUCGUUAUGCAAGAAGAGUUAAUUUUCACGCACUUGACAUCAAAAUCAGUCGACGAUGGUAAACCUAUAUACGUGUGUGGUUUCAUCGUUUGGACAGAAAUGUGAACAAAUAAUUUGUGUUAGGUGUUUUUGAUCAAAGGAACUGUCGCAGAAAAUGGCACCAAUAUGCAUUAUCCAUCAACAUUAUUAACACCCUUUCAUUCAAUAGUUUCAACUGAUUCCUUUUAUACAAAUGUUGAUUUUUGGUGACAAUUAUAUCAAUAGUCCAUUAAAAAUUAUCAGCACUGAUAAAAAAAUAAACCGGUAUCAAUUAAGCGAGAGCACAAACACUUAACGUUCUUUAAUAACCACAUGUUUUAAUUACUACAAACGACUGGUCAUACUUUUAUUUUAAGGAUAUGAAACAUUUUUAACAAAAGUUGCUAAAACAUUGCCAAUCUAUGGGAGAGUCCAUUGAAACGAAUUAUGUUAUAUUUUAUUAA